rnacentral:rRNA from 1 species
UACGUAGGUGGCAAGCGUUGUCCGGAUUUAUUGGGUUUAAAGGGUGCGUAGGCGGCUUUGUAAGUCAGUGGUGAAAUAUGGCAGCUCAACUGUCAGGGUGCCAUUGAUACUGCGGAGCUUGAGUACAGAUGAGGUAGGCGGAAUUGACGGUGUAGCGGUGAAAUGCUUAGAUGUCGUCAAGAACACCGAUAGCGAAGGCAGCUUACUAGGCUGUAACUGACGCUGAGGCACGAAAGUGUGGGGAUCAAACAGG